UUAGGAAUCUUCCACAAUGGACGAAAGUCUGAUGGAGCGACACCGCGUGAAGGAUGAAGGCUUUAUUGUUGUAAACUUCUGUUCUGUGGGACGAUAAUGACGGUACCACAGGAGAAAGGGGCAGCAAACUACGUGCCAGCAGCUGCGGUAAUACGUAGGCCCCGAGCGUUAUCCGGAAUCACUGGGCGUAAAGCGUCUGUAGGUGGAGAAAUAAGUUUCAUGUGAAAGACCGGGGCUCAACCCCGUGUUUGUGUGAAAUACUGUUUUUCUAGAAUCAGGGAGAGGGAAGCGGAAUUAUGCGAGUAGGGGUGCAAUCCGUUGAUACGCAUAAGAACACCAAAAGCGAAGGCAGCUUCCUGGAACUGUAUUGACACUGAGAGACGAAAGCGUGGGGAGCGAAAAGG
rnacentral:rRNA from 1 species